GGUGACUUGCCCGAGUGGUCCAAGGGGUCAGGUUUAGGCCCUGAUAUGGAAACAUGCGUGGGUUCGAACCCCACAGUCAUCA
rfam:Smittium culicis strain GSMNP scaffold-6162, whole genome shotgun sequence.